AUUUUAGACAAAAUGUCCAGUUAACCAAAAGCAGAGGAACAAACUACACACCUUGAAGAAGAAAUGAGAUAAACCCAGAAGGAUGACAUGAAGCAAAGAGAACAGACAAGGGCACUCACCUGACCAGACUGCUCAGCCCGAUCCCAGGAGUGACCACUGCCAGUCUACCCAUACUCCUAUGUGAAGACUGGUUUUCCCCUUUGCUACUCUCAGUGCAUAUUUGGCAGAACAAUUCUGUCUUCAUGAUAAGCCAUUAAUGAAAAGGAACGUGAUGUGGAUUUCCUAAGUAUGCCUGGAUUUUCUGAAUCUUCCAGUGGUUCUUCAGGAAGCCUGCACUUUUGGAUUUGAAUGUCUCAAGCUCUCUACAGCUCUAAGACAUUACUGUCUUCAUGCAUAAGAAGAGAUCCAGAAGGAAGUACCAAAAAUUUUUUCUUUAGUAGUCUGCAAAGUCAAGAACAUCCCACUCCUCUCCGUGACUGGCCAGAAGAUGUUCCAGUUCACAGAAUGGGUCAGUUCAGGUGAGAUGAAGCCUUAUUAACAAUUCUUAAUCACAAAAAUGAAUGGAAGUCAAUACGAAAUAAAUUGAGUUAAUUCUGAGGACUAGAAAUGGAGAUGGAAAAAAAUAAUUACUUUUUCUCCAAAAGA